rnacentral:rRNA from 1 species
GACGAACGUUGGCGGCGUGCCUAACACAUGCAAGUCAGGGGUUCUUCGGAACACCGGCGGACGGGUGAGUAACGCGUAGAUAAUCUGCCUCUAUCACGGGGAUAACUACUGGAAACGGUGGCUAAUACCCGAUGUUGCAACUUGUUGUAAAAAGUCUUCGGACGGAUAGAGAUGAGUCUGCGUCUGAUUAGCUUGUUGGUAAGGUAACGGCUUACCAAGGCGAUGAUCAGUAACUGGUCUGAGAGGACGAUCAGUCACACUGGAACUGAGACACGGUCCAGACUCCUACGGGAGGCAGCAGUGAGGAAUAUUGGUCAAUGGGGGCAACCCUGAACCAGCGACGCCGCGUGAGGGAUGACGGGGCUUUGCCUUGUAAACCUCUGUCAGAAGGGAAAAGAAGGUUGUUUGGCGACCUGGGCUUGUACCUUCGGAGGAAGCACCGGCUAACUACGUG